GUAGGGAAUCUUGCGCAAUGGGCGAAAGCCUGACGCAGCCAUGCCGCGUGAAUGAUGAAGGUCUUAGGAUUGUAAAAUUCUUUCACCGGGGACGAUAAUGACGGUACCCGGAGAAGAAGCCCCGGCUAACUUCGUGCCAGCAGCCGCGGUAAUACGAAGGGGGCUAGCGUUGCUCGGAAUUACUGGGCGUAAAGGGAGCGUAGGCGGAUAGUUUAGUCAGAGGUGAAAGCCCAGGGCUCAACCUUGGAAUUGCCUUUGAUACUGGCUAUCUUGAGUAUGGAAGAGGUAUGUGGAACUCCGAGUGUAGAGGUGAAAUUCGUAGAUAUUCGGAAGAACACCAGUGGCGAAGGCGACAUACUGGUCCAUUACUGACGCUGAGGCGCGAAAGCGUGGGGAGCAAACAGGAUUAGAUACCCUGGUAGUCC
rnacentral:rRNA from 1 species